GCCUAGAGGCGAACGACGACGCGCCGCGAAGGAGGUAGGGCCGGAGCGGAACAGGUGACGUUAGACAUGCGCGCGACGCCGAGAGAAGAAAGCCCCGUGAGUACCGGGGAAACGACGAAAGACGGGGCCGAGCGUCAACGGCCUUCCAGUUUGAAGCCAGCGCGUGGAGAGACAGGAAAACGAGGAUGCACGCUAAGCGGCGUGAGGCGCGGCGGUGUCCCCCGUGGAUCUCAUGAUGUGCCUCGGGCCGGAAAACGCGGUGGAGAGCGAGCGCAGCCGACGGCGCCACGGGGCGUGAAACAGAACCGCACAAUGCAAAAAAGGCACAAAGGGAGAAACGGGUGCGAGAAGGGCAAUGGCAUCUCCAGUUCUCAGCCCAGUCGCGCGGCGCGUUUCUGUCUAGUCAGCAGCCCCGAAAUCGCAAAACCCCCGAAACUGGAGAGGUCGCGGGGAAUCGCGGGCGCGAGUACACAGGCGGGAUCAAGGAAAGACUCGUCUUUUGGAGAGACAUGAUUGCGACACAACCCGAGAAACCCGAGGCGGACUUGAGGCCCCUGAAGGUGUUUCGAGCCGCUCAGAAAAGAGGGACACUUUUCUCUCAGCUGGGUUUCCUCACGGUCCUCGCGAGCCUGACCCAAACUUCAAGUCCCCUUCUCUAUGUCCCCCCGGCCUCGGCCCGGCUGGGUGAGAUGCGUGCGGCGUCUUACGUCGUGCACAAAAAGGGAGAGACUCGCCGAUAUCUUUGCCCGAGAUUCGAUUUUCUCUGGAGAGAGACAAAAGGACGCUUCACGCGUCACCUGGUCCUGACGCGAAAACCGUUCUUGUCCCGCCGUUUCCAUCUAUCCAGGCCACGCCCCGCCAGGUGUUUGUCGGGAGGGCCAUCUCGGCGCCGGCAUGCACGAAGCCAGCUCGCCUGCUUGCGGCCAACCCGGCAGAUCGACGAUCGCCGCAGAGGCGAGACGCGAGAGGCGCACGCAGCGGAAAGAGAGAGAGACAGCAAAACAGCUUCUCUGGCGAAGACUCUCCACUUCCGACGCUGGAACUCCGCUUUCCGAGAACGGGAGCGUCGCAAACCGCGGCCAGCUCUGCCACGGCGCCUCUCGUUCGCAGGCCUCCCCCCGAGCCUCGAAACGGAAAAAAAGUGUGAGAGGAAGGCAGUGAACAUCAACACGGAGAGGAGGGCGCAGGUGUAAGGAAGCGUGAAAUGCCCGAGUUUCAGGGGGAGAAGGGAAAACCGACGGGGGAAAAGACGCGGAUCUCGACACCGUGAAAGCUGGCCUCCGAUACGCGAAACCUGAGGCCUCGGCGACUCGCAGGAAGACAAACCCGUUCGCCUUCCAAAACCUUGCGUCGUCUUCCUUGAGAACGCUGGCGAGCGCGAAGGACAGACGCCGCGCUCAGACGGAGACUCGGGGGUUCGUGCUGUGUGGAGGCUGAGUUUUCGCGAACGCGCGAAAUCGGCGGAGAAAGGCCGGGGACGCCAGCAGAGACACACACACCGACGAGUGUGCCUUUGCAGAAAAGACGCGUUAAGUCAUCGUUGAACGUGACGGAGGUCUGCUUGCCGACGGCGCGUUUCACUUUCGCCCCUCUUCCUUGGCGCUUCGGCUUAAAUGCCGCGGAGGCCCUACGGGGAGACACAGCCCGCUGACAGAAGAAAUGCGAAGCCAACCGAGAUUUCGGACUGGUGUUCAGUCGAAGCCGAGAGGUGCGGUUGCCACACUGGCCGUUCUCUCGCACGAGACCUCGUCCCUCCUUCGAUGUGAGAACGUGCCUCAGACCCGAGUCCCUCGAUCCUCUUUUCGCCAGGCCGAGUCGGACCGUCGCCAUCUCAGCGGAGCCUUCCCCCGUGAACUGGGCGUUUUCGUACUCUCGACCGGCUCAGCCAGUAGCCAGGCCGCAGCAGAUGCAGAAACCACCGGUGUACGCAACACGGCUUCCAAGAAAAUGUCCUUGCCGCGCAUCCGUCCCCGGUUCACGGAGUUUGCCGUCAGUACAGCCACAGAAAGGCAUCGGUAGCUCUGUACAGCGCAGUCCCUGGAAGCUACGAACGCAGCAAACGCAACGGGGCGACUCCCGGUAGCUGGAAAGCAAGUCCAGAAGUGUGUGAGGGAACCUGCGAGUUCCCGUUUGAAAUACAGGCGUGAAGUAACGAUGUCCAAACGGGCGAGAGCACACUGGCCGAAAUGCUCCUGUGCCGCAGCGUGGCCGCUGCGAUCUAGGAAAAACACGCGCUAGAAGGAAACCGUGUGCGACGCAUGGAGGCUCAUUCAGUCCCCUUAAAAGCACGCGCUAGAAUGAAACCGUGUGCCACGCAUGGAGGCUCAUUCAGUCCCCUUUCGCCUUUCUGCGGCUGCUGCUUCUAUCCAGUCACCUUGCGAAACGCGUGCGCCGUCGUUUCUCAUCUAGUCUGAGAUGUACACGUCGCUGUCCCCCCGGAAACAGCACACUCCGAGCCGUAUCCUAACAUCUCCGGCCAAGUGGAGACCACCAAGAGCAUGACCCGGUUCACCUCAAAGCUAUGCUCUGCGUGGCUUUUCGCGGCGGCUUUGUGUUGCCGCCCUGGAAGUGAAACGACGCGGGGACGAGUUGCUGCUCGCCGGGCGACGGCGACGCACCACAACACUCCUCAUCCCGAUCCACUUCCGUACUUUUCCCCGUUGGUAGCUGAUGUUUUGCUUCGUGUUCCAUGUUCACUAAAUGUCGGCCACGCACCUUACAAACAGUCUGGGCUGCCCUACAGCUAUUUUAGCACUGAGUACAUACAUUCUGUGUCACUCUUUCUUGGACAGAAACAUUUCGUGAAUGUUGCAACUCUCCAUAUCUGUGCACCUGUCUACCUUCGUACAUGUCUAGGGCUGGACCACCCACCGCGCGUGCUGCGUACAGAGUCCUAUGUAACGGCAACACGUCUCACUCCCGUUCUGCGUCCGUAUAUCCACAAGUGUAUCCGCAGGCGUUAGCUUCUCGGAACACAUUCACUCUUUUCUUUGGAGGAUCCCUUUUCCAGAUGUGAUCCGCAGCCUUGCGACUCCUGUGUCUUCUGCGCGUUCUUUUUCGAGACUCUCCCGCCGUGCAGGCGCCCGUUUUCGGCCGUUUAAACACAAGAACAAACUCGG
rnacentral:lncRNA from 1 species